CUCCUUUAUUGGAUGAGAGUCUGUUCACUUGAAGCUAGCUCUUAUAGUAAGCGACGGUCUGAGGAACAACAUACAGUAACAGCGCUUUUUGUACAGACUGAACGAUAAUCCUGUUAUUUACAGGUAAGUCGUCUUCCACCUCUACGUGUAGCUACCAUUGUCAUUAGUGUUUACCUCUUUGUCUCUUGUGCCUCAUUAAUCUUAGGAUGUAAAAUUCAGAGGGGUUUUGCAGGAACUCCUCUUUAGAAAUAGAAAGAUACGUGAGAUAUCUGACUUUAAAGGAUCAUAAUUUGUGUCAUGACAAGAUUGCCUUUCUUAUGCCACUUGUUAUAUGGACAUUAUGGAUUAAAGACAUAAAACAUGUUACCUCCAUGAUGUGAUAUUUACUGUUUUUUUUUAUUAGGGGUCGAAAAUUCAAUUUCUUGGAAAAUUAGGGAAAUAUUAUUUAUCCGUAAGUUAUGUGUAUUUCCAAUCUCGAUUCCAAUGUAAGUCUAUAUAUGCUUCCCCUUUUAAUAUUUUAGACAUUUAAGUUAAUUUCUGUCAUUCAGUUGUGUGUAUUGUUAUUGUUUGUGCGCGCGCAUACGCGUGCGUUUGUGUGUUGUAUUUUAUGCUCACACGGUCACUCAAUUUACACAGAAAAACCACGAUAAAGCAAGAUAGUGUGGCGCGUGCACAUCUCAGCUGCCGCACAUCGUCUAAAUCGAUUUAGUCACAUUUCCCAUCUUUGCAGAGCAUAUGAGACGGUUUUAAUAAUUGGUCAGCUUUGGCCUAUACCCGCAAAAACCAAUAUAAGAAAAAAUUACAGCAAUAAUUGAAUAUCAGCGGAUUUCAAGUGAUAUUGUGGUGACCUGGUGACGGAACGUGACUUCUGUAAUGUCUUUUCGCACAGUCCUCUACAUAAAGCUCUUUGAAACUGUGGACGCAAAUGAUAGUUCUGCUAAUUGAAAACAAAACUCUUUGUACGUAAUGACUUAUCAGAUAUUUUCAGCUGAUAAAGAAUACCACUUCAUGUUGUAUUGCGAGGUGCAUUCCAAUCGAGGUGCAUGUUGUGAAUGAUAAAUUUUGCCGACAUGCAUCAUGACAUUGGCGGUUGAUGAUUAUCUAAUACAUUUUGAUAACUUGAGAAACGUCGUCAGCAUUCCAACUGGAUUCGAUACACUGAUUGCGAUCGGUAUUAUUCAGGAAGUGCACACAUAGUCAAUGCGAGGUCUACUCCUGCCAGAAGGCACGUUGC